GAUGAACGCUGGCGGCGUGCCUAAUACAUGCAAGUCGAGCGAACGGACGAGAAGCUUGCUUCUCUGAUGUUAGCGGCGGACGGGUGAGUAACACGUGGAUAACCUACCUAUAAGACUGGGAUAACUUCGGGAAACCGGAGCUAAUACCAGAUAAUAUUUUGAACCGCAUGGUUCAAAAGUGAAAGACGGUCUUGCUGUCACUUAUAGAUGGAUCCGCGCUGCAUUAGCUAGUUGGUAAGGUAACGGCUUACCAAGGCAACGAUGCAUAGCCGACCUGAGAGGGUGAUCGGCCACACUGGAACUGAGACACGGUCCAGACUCCUACGGGAGGCAGCAGUAGGGAAUCUUCCGCAAUGGGCGAAAGCCUGACGGAGCAACGCCGCGUGAGUGAUGAAGGUCUUCGGAUCGUAAAACUCUGUUAUUAGGGAAGAACAUAUGUGUAAGUAACUGUGCACAUCUUGACGGUACCUAAUCAGAAAGCCACGGCUAACUACGUG
rnacentral:rRNA from 1 species